rnacentral:lncRNA from 1 species
UCUCCUUCAUUUUUCCUGUCCCUCUCUGCUCCCUGCCUACAGACUGUCAACACUUAUUAAGAAGAAGAAUAUAAAUGUUCUAGAAGAAUAUAUGCUGAGGAUAGCUUUCAGCUGCUGCGCUCUUAACUUAAGCCAAGUGCCUUGGAAGUGCAGUGAUUGUUCAGGAGCAACGAGGGACCUGCAGCACCUCCUCUGGGUACAGCAGAGGCAACUUCACCUGGCAUACUGGGAAUAGUUGGGCGGCUUUGACUUUCCCCCUCCAGCAUAUGUAGGUAAGCACCCCUCUCACCUGUCUUAACUCUGCAUAGAUAUAAACUAUAUGAAUAUAAAAUACCUAGGAUGGAUAACAAAGAAAACAUGUAUUCUUAAUCCUUGUCUCACAUGUAUGAAUACUCACAGUGAAUCAUGC